rnacentral:rRNA from 1 species
GAUGAACGCUGGCGGCGUGCCUAAUACAUGCCAGUCGAGCGAACAGACGAGGAGCUUGCUCCUUUGACGUUAGCGGCGGGCGGGUGAGUAACACGUGGAUAACCUACCUAUAAGACUGGGAUAACUUCGGGAAACCGGAGCUAAUACCGGAUAACAUGUUGAACCGCAUGGUUCAACAGUGAAAGACGGUCUUGCUGUCACUUAUAGAUGGAUCCGCGCCGCAUUAGCUAGUUGGUAAGGUAACGGCUUACCAAGGCAACGAUGCGUAGCCGACCUGAGAGGGUGAUCGGCCACACUGGAACUGAGACACGGUCCAGACUCCUACGGGAGGCAGCAGUAGGGAAUCUUCCGCAAUGGGCGAAAGCCUGACGGAGCAACGCCGCGUGAGUGAAGAAGGUCUUCGGAUCGUAAAACUCUGUUAUUAGGGAAGAACAAAUGUGUAAGUAACUAUGCACGUCUUGACGGUACCUAAUCAGAAAGCCACGGCUAACUACGUG